rnacentral:rRNA from 1 species
UAGGGAAUCUUCGGCAAUGGGGGCAACCCUGACCGAGCAACGCCGCGUGAGUGAAGAAGGUUUUCGGAUCGUAAAGCUCUGUUGUAAGUCAAGAACGGGUGUGAGAGUGGAAAGUUCACACUGUGACGGUAGCUUACCAGAAAGGGACGGCUAACUACGUGCUAGCAGCCGCGGUAAUACGUAGGUCCCGAGCGUUGUCCGGAUUUAUUGGGCGUAAAGCGAGCGCAGGCGGUUUGAUAAGUCUGAAGUUAAAGGCUGUGGCUCAACCAUAGUUCGCUUUGGAAACUGUCAAACUUGAGUGCAGAAGGGGAGAGUGGAAUUCCAUGUGUAGCGGUGAAAUGCGUAGAUAUAUGGAGGAACACCGGUGGCGAAAGCGGCUCUCUGGUCUGUAACUGACGCUGAGGCUCGAAAGCGUGGGGAGCGAACAGGAUUAGAUACCCUGGUAGUCCACGCCGUAAACGAUGAGUGCUAGGUGUUGGAUCCUUUCCGGGAUUCAGUGCCGAAGCUAACGCAUUAAGCACUCCGCCUGGGGAGUACGACCGCAAGGUUGAAAC